rnacentral:rRNA from 1 species
CAGCAGCCACGGGAAUACGGAGGGUGCAAGCGUUGUCCGGAUUUAUUGGGUUUAAAGGGUGCGUAGGCGGCCUAAUAAGUCAGUGGUGAAAGCCUCCAGCUUAACUGGAGAACUGCCAUUGAUACUGUUAGGCUUGAGUAUACUUGAGGUAGGCGGAAUUGACAGUGUAGCGGUGAAAUGCAUAGAUAUUGUCAAGAACACCAAUUGCGAAGGCAGCUUACUAAAUUAUAACUGACGCUGAGGCACGAAAGUGUGGGUAUCAAACAGGAUUAGAUACCCCCGUAGUCCCUGUCUCUUAUAC